rnacentral:rRNA from 1 species
GAUGAACGCUAGCGGCAGGCCUAACACAUGCAAGUCGAGGGGCAGCAUAAAACAAGCUUGCUUGUUUGGUGGCGACCGGCGCACGGGUGCGUAACGCGUAUGCAACCUACCCUGUACUGAGGGAUAGCCCGGAGAAAUUCGGAUUAACACCUCAUAGUAUAUGUCAUUCGCAUGUUUGACAUAUUAAAGGUUACGGUACAGGAUGGGCAUGCGUCCCAUUAGCUAGAUGGUGAGGUAACGGCUCACCAUGGCGACGAUGGGUAGGGGGCCUGAGAGGGUGGUCCCCCCANACUGGUACUGAGACACGGACCAGACUCCUACGGGAGGCAGCAGUGAGGAAUAUUGGUCAAUGGGCGCAAGCCUGAACCAGCCAUGCCGCGUGCAGGAAGAAGGUCCUAUGGAUUGUAAACUGCUUUUAUUGGGAAUAAACCUCUUUACGUGUAGAGAGCUGAAGGUACCAAAUGAAUAAGCACCGGCUAACUCCGUGCCAG